AUUGAACGCUGGCGGCAGGCCUAACACAUGCAAGUCGAGCGGCAGCGGAAAGUAGCUUGCUACUUUGCCGGCGAGCGGCGGACGGGUGAGUAAUGUCUGGGAAACUGCCUGAUGGAGGGGGAUAACUACUGGAAACGGUAGCUAAUACCGCAUAACGUCGCAAGACCAAAGAGGGGGACCUUCGGGCCUCUUGCCAUCAGAUGUGCCCAGAUGGGAUUAGCUAGUAGGUGGGGUAACGGCUCACCUAGGCGACGAUCCCUAGCUGGUCUGAGAGGAUGACCAGCCACACUGGAACUGAGACACGGUCCAGACUCCUACGGGAGGCAGCAGUGGGGAAUAUUGCACAAUGGGCGCAAGCCUGAUGCAGCCAUGCCGCGUGUAUGAAGAAGGCCUUCGGGUUGUAAAGUACUUUCAGCGGGGAGGAAGGCGAUAAGGUUAAUAACCUUGUCGAUUGACGUUACCCGCAGAAGAAGCACCGGCUAACUCCGUGCCAGCAGCCGCGGUAAUACGGAGGGUGCAAGCGUUAAUCGGAAUUACUGGGCGUAAAGCGCACGCAGGCGGUCUGUCAAGUCGGAUGUGAAAUCCCCGGGCUCAACCUGGGAACUGCAUUCGAAACUGGCAGGCUAGAGUCUUGUAGAGGGGGGUAGAAUUCCAGGUGUAGCGGUGAAAUGCGUAGAGAUCUGGAGGAAUACCGGUGGCGAAGGCGGCCCCCUGGACAAAGACUGACGCUCAGGUGCGAAAGCGUGGGGAGCAAACAGGAUUAGAUACCCUGGUAGUCCACGCCGUAAACGAUGUCGACUUGGAGGUUGUGCCCUUGAGGCGUGGCUUCCGGAGCUAACGCGUUAAGUCGACCGCCUGGGGAGUACGGCCGCAAGGUUAAAACUCAAAUGAAUUGACGGGGGCCCGCACAAGCGGUGGAGCAUGUGGUUUAAUUCGAUGCAACGCGAAGAACCUUACCUACUCUUGACAUCCAGAGAACUUUCCAGAGAUGGAUUGGUGCCUUCGGGAACUCUGAGACAGGUGCUGCAUGGCUGUCGUCAGCUCGUGUUGUGAAAUGUUGGGUUAAGUCCCGCAACGAGCGCAACCCUUAUCCUUUGUUG
rnacentral:rRNA from 3 species